GAUCAACGCUGGCGGCGUGCCUAACGCAUGCAAGUCGGACGGCUCAUCAUUUCGGUGGUGGGUAGUGGCGGACGGGUGCGGAGCGCGUGACCGACCUGCCCUUCGGCGGGGGAUACCGGCGGGAAACCGCCGUUAAGACCGCGUAUGCUCGCCGGCCGGUGGGGCGGGCGAGGAAAACCCAUUUCGGUGGGUGCCGGGGGAGGGGGUUGCGUCCGAUUAGCUGGUUGGCGGGGUGACGGCCCACCAAGGCGAUCAUCGGUAGCUGGUCUGAGAGGACGAUCAGCCACAGGGGGACUGAGACACGGCCCCCACACCUGCGGGUGGCAGCAGCGAGGGAUUUUCGGCAAUGGGCGCAAGCCUGACCGAGCAACGCCGCGUGCGGGACGACGCCCCUCGGGGUGUAAACCGCUUUUCCCGGGGACGAGGAUGACGGUACCCGGGGAAUCAGCCCCGGCUAACUACGUGCCAGCCGCCGCGGUAACAC
rnacentral:rRNA from 1 species